UGGCUAACUCCGUGCCAGCAGCCGCGGUAAUACGGAGAGGGCUAGCGUUAUUCGGAAUUAUUGGGCGUAAAGGGCGCGUAGGCUGAUUAAUAAGUUAAAAGUGAAAUCCCGAGGCUUAACCUUGGAAUUGCUUUUAAAACUAUUAAUCUAGAGAUUGAAAGAGGAUAGAGGAAUUCCUGAUGUAGAGGUAAAAUUCGUAAAUAUUAGGAGGAACACCAGUGGCGAAGGCGUCUAUCUGGUUCAAAUCUGACGCUGAGGCGCGAAGGCGUGGGGAGCAAACAGGAUUAGAUACCCUGGUAGUCCAC
rnacentral:rRNA from 1 species